rnacentral:rRNA from 1 species
UUCCCCUAGUAACUGCGAGUGAAGCGGGAAGAGCUCAAAUUUGAAAUCUGGCGGUUCUUGACCGUCCGAGUUGUAAUCUAGAGAAGUGCUACCUGUGCUGGACCGUGUACAAGUCUCCUGGAAUGGAAGCAUCACAGAGGGUGAGAAUCCCGUCUUUGACACGGACUGCCUGCACGUUGUGGUGUGCUCUCGAAGAGUCGAGUUGUUUGGGAAUGCAGCUCAAAAUGGGUGGUAAAUGCCAUCUAAAGCUAAAUAUUGGCGAGAGACCGAUAGCGAACAAGUACCGUGAGGGAAAGAUGAAAAGAACUUUGGAAAGAGAGUUAAACAGUACGUGAAAUUGCUGAAAGGGAAACGCUUGAAGUCAGUCGCGUCGGCCAGAAAUCAGCCUUGCUUUUGCUUGGUGUACUUUCUUGUUGAUGGGUCAGCAUCAAUUUCGACCAUUGGAUAAAGUCGUUCAGGAAUGUGGCAUCUUCGGAUGUGUUAUAGCCUGGCGUCGCAUACGGUGGUUGGGAUUGAGGAACUCAGCACGCCGCAAGGCCGGGUCUUUUUUGACCACGUCCGUGCUUAGGAUGCUGGCAUAAUGGCUUUAAUCGACCCGUCUUGAAACACGGACCAAGGAGUCUAACAUGCCUGCGAGUGUUUGGGUGGAAAACCCAUGCGCGAAAUGAAAGUGAAAGUUGAGAUCCCUCACGGGAGCAUUGACGCCCGGACCAGACCUUUUGCGAAGGAUCCGCGGUAGAGCAUGUGUGUUGGGACCCGAAAGAUGGUGAACUAUGCCUGAAUAGGGUGAAGCCAGAGGAAACUCUGGUGGAGGCUCGUAGCGAUUCUGACGUGCAAAUCGAUCGUCAAAUUUGGGUAUAGGGGCGAAAGACU